ACCCAGGACCAAAUGCCCAGCAUCUUUCUGAGCAAGCGGUAAACACUGCAGCAAGAAGCAAGCUAAUUCCCCUCCCUGGGGCAAUAGUCACAUCGUAGUUACACGUGGUCACACCUUCAUCUUCUUCAGUGUCAGGAGAUGGAGGAGCCUCGCAGUCUUGUCACAGACUGAUUUUGAAGUAGAAUUGCCUUCCUGUCUGUCUCAAAGCCAUGAGAGCUCCAUUGCUGGUGUGCCUGCAUAUACACCGGUGGACGUACGGUUACGUCGUUCCUGAUGUUUCUGUCACAAACCUGCCUGCCCACGUAGGUGGGUGCCUUCAUUGCUACACGCUGAAGCAAGUGAAUUCAGGGAAGUAAAACCAAUUUUACUGUGAUUUUUGCGGGAGGUAUCAACAGAUUGCCCUCCUGAAAGGUUUACCCAUUUAUUCUUGGUUUGGACCCUCGUCCAUUUAAAUCCGGUGACAAUGCUGAUUCUUGGUUGAUGGGAAUAAAUCGAGAAUGUAGAUAAAUGUGUCUGUGGCC
rnacentral:lncRNA from 1 species